ensembl:lncRNA
GCAGUGUGCCAUCUAACAGUCCCCAUAGCCAUUCCCACCGGCUGUCCAGUGGCCAUUGUGCUCCAUAUCCCAACCACACCCUGGAGCUGGCAUCCUUAUUGUUUCCCUGUUUUGUGGGGUGGGGGACAUGUGGAGGGGGCAGCAACAUCAGGGAAGGAGCCAGGGCUUCUUUGUGUGUUUUUUCCUCUCUGCCAUGCUAACCUCCAUAGCUGGGCCACGGACCUACAGACCUCUGAGUACACCAAGAUUUCAGGUCCUGCGGUUGAUCAGAAGUCUCGGACGUCACCAGCGUCUCCUUUAGGAGCAGAAAUGCAUCAGGGCUUCCUGAUGCCAGAGAAGGCAGAGAGCACGGCGUCUUCAAGGUCUUCUCGACAGAUGCGCUGCCUGGUGGACGCUGGGAAGAUGGAGCUGAACAGGAAGGAGGGCAUCUCAGGGUGUGGAACAGGAGCAAAGUGCUGUGGCAGGACCAUGCAUGUGAUUUUAGGAGACAAGUUAGAUCUUCUACUGCUGACCUGACUGAAGUUUGACUGAAGCCCCUUGGGCUGCAUUUUACCUGUAACCUUACACAGCAGAGACAGACUCUUACUCAUUUCAACUGCUGCCCCCUGCCUGCAAUGCCUGAGAGCGAGACUAGUGUCUCUCCAUGCUUCUGGCUUUAAAGACAGACUUCUGUGGUCAAAGGUGUUAACAGUUUGGGUACUUAGGUUCUGGGUUUCGCCUGAAGCUGUGGCCUCCCCAUCCAGACCCUCAUGGUACUCACUCCCAGAAGCUUUGCCCUUCUUCUUCACCCCUCCUCCCUGCCCCAGUUCUAAUUCAGGCUUCGAGUUCAGCUCAGAGAACUUGCUCCCGAGUUUGCCCACUUUGGUGGUCUUUGCUUUCUAGACAGCAUGUCCCAAAGUGUGUGCCCGUGGGCCUCAAGGAAUGUUAACAACUGUCAUGGGACUGAGGUGUCCCUCAGGGGGUGUUGGACUAAGUAAAGUCAAUCCGAUAUCUUCUCUGCAGGACUUCUCAGAGCCUUGAACAUACUAUUGGGGGUGGGUUGGAAGAUCCAAGAGGGAUACUUCACAAAACAUUUCCUAAACUCCUUUCUCCACAAAGUGCAUACUUUUUCCAGAGGACCUUGCUUUUUUUUGGAUAUUAAAAUUUGUAUUACUAUUUUAAAGAGUGGGUUGAUACUGUGUUUUUUUUUUUCUUUUAGUACUGCUGCUUUACAAUGUUGUGUUAAUUUCUGCUGUACAAUGAAAUGAAUCAGCUAUAUGUAUACAUAUAUCUCCUCUCACUUGGACUUCCCUCCCCCUUGCUCCCACCAUCCCACCCAGAGUUAAAUAAACUUCAGAGUCCAGUGGACUUGCAUUUCCCAUCUUCAGACUUUUUGAGCUUCAGUCUCUUCAUUUAUUGGAGAAGACAAUGGCAACCCAUUCCAGUACUCUUGCCUGGAAAAUCCCAUGGACGGAGGAGCCAGGUAGGCUGCAGUCCAUGGGGUCGCUAGGAGUCAGACAUGACUGAGCAACUUCACUUUCAUGCAUUGGAGAAGGAAAUGGCAACCCACUCCAGUGUUCUUGCCUGGAGAAUCCCAGGGACGGGGGAACCUAGUGGGCCACCAUCUAUGGGGUCAUACAGAGUCGGACACGACUGAAGUGACUUAGCAGCUCUUCAUACAUAAAAUGGAGAGUGAUCCCUACCUUGAAAGGUGGUUGCAACAUUUAAGUGAGGUGACAUAAAAAAUGCACAGCCUAGGGUGAGAUAGUAAGGGGCUUAAUGAAUUGAAUUUUCUCCUCUCUGUCUUUUGCUUUUCUGGUGGAAGCUUUCAAUCUGAGUCAAAAUAUGCCUGGUUGUGCACCAAGUACUCGGCCUGUGAGGGUGAGUACUCAAAACCACACUCAAAUCCACAAGGUCAGAAGAAUGAGAGCCCAAAAGGGACUGGGCCAUCCAAGAAGGCUUCCUGGAGGAAGUGAUCUUUGCUGGGCCAGAUUCUGAAGCUAGUUCUCCAGUAAAGACCUAGGGCAGCGGAGGCAGGAGGGGAACCUUUAGAACUCCCUGUUUGUACAAGCAAGCUCCAGCAGGAAUCCUUUUCUUUAUUUUUCUUUCCUACCCUGGAGGCCCAUUUCCCCACCAAAUCCAGCCGACACAGCACUUACCUUCCCCUCGCACUGCCUGAACUUGGCCAACAGCUCAAGUUCCAGAGGUGUGAGCCUCAGAGUGAGGCCCUCCUGACUUGUGGAAAUUCACUGGGCCCGCAGAAGCCUGUUAUACUGACACCCUCAGGGAGCUCAGGGCAAGAGGCCACCAGGACCUGGAUACUGGCCCGGAGCCUACCUCCCCAACCUUGGUCACAGGGGUAGGUGGGAGGAGUCCAUUUAAGCUGAGGAGGAAGCAGUACUGGAGGCUUUCUCCCCAGACUCUGUAUUAACCCCUGAACCCUGACCUCUACCAACCAACCAUUUCAGGAGACACCACUUUGAACCAGGCAUAUUUCCUCCCUAACUCAUUUAAUCUCCUAAAUUGUCAUAAUAGUUUCCAUUUUACUGAUGAGAAAACAAAGGUUUAGAGAGUCAGCUUGAAACUAGGUCCGUUUGGUUCAAAGUCCAAGUUUUUUCCACUAGCGCUCCGGAGCCAUUAUUUCUCUUCGGGCCUUACCUAGUUUAUCUGGAAACUAGAUGUCACCACCUCCAGAAGGCCCUCACCCAGGGCCAUGCUUAUCUGCCCUUCUGAGUGUCUACAGUUGAAACCACAAGGCACGUCUCCUGUUGGUCCAUCUUUCCGGGCAGGGAAGGACUGGAUGGAUGCCCUGCCCUGUACCCCUAGUGCCUGGUACAGAACACGUAGUAAUCUCUGUUGAGAGAAGAGAUGAAGAAGUAUAAUUUUCGAGAGUACACAGAUCUACCCAGUGCUUUACAUCCCUGUCAAGUCCUGAGCUGCCAGCAUCUUCUGACGGCACCACAACCCUCCACCCUUCCCUCCACCCCAUGGGCUGGCCUCACAAAUGCUACCUGACUCAAUUUUCCAAGGCAUCAUCCACUUCACCUCCUGCGGUUCAGCUUGUUUCCUGGACUUCUGCAGGACCCCCCGAUAUUCACGAGCAGAUCCCUGUAGCUGGACACCCUCAGGAGGGCCCUGUAAGAUCUCGGCUCCAGCUCUUCUCCUCCAAGUGAGCUGCAGUCCAGCAUG